GGAGGCGUAACUUGAAGUUCUCCAAAUCACACAGAACCACGCGAGACCUCAAAACGAUAAGUUGUUGGCAAUAUGACGGCACAGAGUAGAAUAUUGAUUACGUUUUAAGGGAGGCAGGGGUUUUAGGCAGGAUUUGAUGCAUGAUGUGUGUGUAGAUAUUAAUGUUAGGGGACAAUGUGAGAGUGUACGUUUUAGUAGGAAAACGUAUUAUCUGACGUAUUAUCACUCCGGAACAGAAGACGGCGGUAUUGCACCAAUAAGCUGGAUGCCAACCGCCGUUAAACUGGGAAGAAGACGAAUAUGACAGCUUGCUGUGAGAGACAAGGGUAGUCGUGCUCAUGGGGUGCAGGCACACGAAAGUUUGGAGCAGACACAGCAGUCAGAUUGUCCUGCACGUGUUCCCCUGCUCUAGCUUCAAGGUUGUGUGGUUCAGAGAGCCGUCAUCAAGGUCUUCUUCAUCCUGUUGCUCAACGACAUCCCCGUUGAAAAGAGUGAGAUUGUGAAGUGCAGCAGCAGAACUGUAUCAGCUGUGUUCAGAUGGCAGGAGGAUGUUGGGUUUACCAUCUGUAAAUACAUGUUUGUUAGAACAAUAAGUUUGAAUGAAGCUUUGUUUCAUGUGUUGUUGACUUGUACAUGUAUGCAUUUAUUGUGAUGCUAACUUUUAUACAUUAUUUUAAUCAUUUAGACAUGUUUUUUGUUGUCAGUAAAUAACAUAUAAAUAUUUUAUC